AGUGAACGCUGGCGGUAGGCCUAACACAUGCAAGUCGAACGGCAGCACAGUAAGAUCUUGCCCUUACGGGUGGCGAGUGGCGGACGGGUGAGGAAUACAUCGGAAUCUACUUUUUCGUGGGUGAUAACGUAGGGAAGCUUACGCUACUACCGCAUACGAUCUACGGGUGAAAGCAGUGGAGCUUCAGAGCUUGCGCGACUGUAUUAGAUGAUGUCGCAUUCGCUAGUUGGCGGGGUAAAGGCCCACCAAGGCGACGAUCCGUAGCUGGUCUGAGAGGAUGAUCGGCCACACUGGAACUGAGACACGGUCCAGACUCCUACGGGAGGCAGCAGUGGGGAAUAUUGGACAAAGGGCGCAAGCCUGAUCCAGCCAUACCGCGUGGGUGAAGAAGGCCUUCGGGUUGUAAAGCCCUUUUGUUGGGAAAGAAAAGCAGCAGGUUAAUACCCCGCUGUUCUGACGGUACCCAAAGAAUAAGCACCGGCUAACUUCGUG
rnacentral:rRNA from 1 species